GUUGAUAAUCAUGAAUUUUGGUUCAUGGGCUUCUUAAACUACGAUGGUGCUGUGAAAUGUCUACAGGAUGCUUUGCAGGCCCAUAGUCUACAGUCUGUGUGAUACUAGACUACUAGUCCUUUCCGGUCAAACUUUUGCCAUCACAUAAUCUUAUCUUGUAAGCAGAAGUUUUCAACCUGUGCUGCCCAAGUGCUAAUGUGAUAACAGCGCAUGUUGCAA
rnacentral:misc_RNA from 1 species